rnacentral:lncRNA from 1 species
GGGAGUUAUGCAAAGCUGCAAGCAAUCUGCAUCACAAGACAUUUCGGGGGCAGAGGAAGAAGCAAGCUGGCAAAUGUGACCCUGGCUCCCAAUCAAGGGACUUUGCCCAUUUGAGGGCUCCUCCAGCAAGUUUGUCUUUUUAUUGUCUGUACGUGGUAUUUUGGGAUGUAACGCCUCUGCCCAUGAACAUGAGAAGUAUUCCAGUCUGUGCUUCUGAUUUUCUUGGCAUUUAAGGAUAUUGCUUAGUCCGUAAGUGUUGUUCCUGGUUUCAAGAAUCAACAAUCCUAAAAAUGUUUAUGUUACAUAAAUGUAUACAUCCCAGAAGGAGAAAGGCCAAGCUUUCUAAGAAAAAGACAAUGUGGG